CCUACGGGGGGCAGCAGUGAGGAAUUUUCCGCAAUGGACGCAAGUCUGACGGAGCAACGCCGCGUGCAGGACGACGGCCUUCGGGUUGUAAACUGCUUUUCUGUGGGACGAGACACGGACGGUACCACAGGAAGAAGCCCCGGCUAACUACGUGCCAGCAGCCGCGGUAAUACGUAGGGGGCAAGCGUUGUCCGGAAUUAUUGGGCGUAAAGCGCACGCAGGCGGUUGCGCGCGUUUCCGGUGCCAGCUCGUUGCUUAACGACGGGAGUGCCGGGAAGACGGCGUGACUUGAGGGCCUCAGAGGGACAUAGAAUUCCGGGUGGAGUGGUGAAAUGCGUAGAUAUCCGGAGGAAUACCAAAGGCGAAGGCAGUGUCCUGGGGGGUGACUGACGCUAAGGUGCGAAAGCCAGGGGAGCGAACGGGAUUAGAUACCCUGGUAGUC
rnacentral:rRNA from 1 species